GAGUAUUUCAAAAAAUUAAAGGUAAGUUUGAUUGUUAACACGGUACAUACAUACGAUAUUAUGUGAUGAUUGUGUUUUAUGGUCCUUGUGAUGCAGACUUACAUUCCUCUAAACAAGCAAAAUAAUCACUGGAUUACUGUCGUCAUGCAUAGCGGAAAAAGAGAGUUUCAGGUUCUUGACUCGUUGAUGACCGGAAAACUUGACACUGUUACUAGAGAACUCGUUGAGGACCUGAGAAAACAACUAGCAGAAGAUAUCCAAGAAGCAAAUGCAACCGGAAUUGUGAAUUAUCCGGAUGUUUCCAAGUGGCCUAUUCAAACGUAUGACAUGCCAAAACAACAUGAUGGGUACGCAAGUCAUGUUUGGACUACGAUGUACAAUGAACGCUGUGCUAAC